UGCAAUGAGCCAGCACAUAUAUUUGCUAAGC
rnacentral:piRNA from 1 species